CAGUCCCUUUAAAAAAACGAUUUACCGGUUUGUGUCAUUUCUUUUAUUUUGAAGGCGUUCUUUCCGGUGUCAUGGUGUGGCGGGUAACUUGACGUCACUCCGCUCUGGACGAGCUGUGAUUCGUGGUGGAGCUGAUAGAGCUGGAGGAGGAGUUCAUGGUGGAGCUGUGUGAAUGUGUGAAUGUGGGAAUGUUUGCGGUUUGAUAACAAACUUGUGAUGAACUUUCUGAGGUUUUUAUCUCCUUCCGGAAACUGAAAGUUCUUUAGUUAUCAGUUUGUUCUUCAGUCCGAGUCCUCCUCCAUGAAUCCAGAGUUUUAUCCUCCAGACUCUCUCUGCUCUCUGCUGGAGGACCUGCUGCUCCGGCUGCUAGAGAGGCUCCAGUGAGAGGAGAGCUGAGCCGAACCGAGCCGAACCGAGCCGAACUAACCCGGUUAAUGUGAGCGACGGUUUAAAACAUCCAGGACAGGAAUAAUGAGAAGAUGAAGCAGAUUCUGUGGAUUCUGGUGUUUCUCCUGCGGAGUCCGGACCGGAGCUGCUGGGACGGUGUGCUGUUCACGAAGCAUCCGUCCAAUCAGACGGUGUCUCAGGGGAACGCCGCGAGGCUCGGCUGUGCCGUUCAGGGUGCGACGGAGCCGGACAUCAUCUGGAUGAAGGACGGAGAGAAACUCUACAGCACCGACCAGAUGUUCAUCACCCUGGGAGAGCAGCACUGGGAGACCUACCACAGGUUCACCAAUCAAUACGUCUAUCAAUAUAUCAAUACAUCAAUCAAUACGUCUAUCAAUAUAUCAAUACAUCAAUCAAUACCUCUAUCAAUAUAUCAAUACAUCAAUCAAUACCUCUAUCAAUAUAUCAAUACGUCAACCAGUCAAUAUAUCUAUCAAUAUAUCAAUACAUCAAUCAAUACGUCUAUCAAUAUAUCAAUACAUCAAUCAGUCAAUAUAUCAAUCAAUUAAGCAAUGUAAGUACAACAGAAUCUGAGGCAAUAUUGGUCUGAUAACAUAUGAUAAAAGUCCUCCAGCUGUUUCACAGUAAAAGUCCUCCAGCUGUUUCACAGUAAAAGUCCUCCAGCUGUUUCACAGUAAAAGUCCUCCAGCUGUUUCACAGUAAAAGUUUUCCAGCUGUU